rnacentral:lncRNA from 10 species
CCCAGCCUUGCUGGGGAAACUAUUUCUUUGGAUUUCUUUGUCCUGGAAAUUGGGAGUCAUAACAGUACAUCUCUUAUGUUGUUGUGAGGAAUAAGUGAAUUCAUUGAUUUAAAAUGCUUAGACCAGUCAGGUGUGGUGGCUCAUGCCUGUAAUCCUAGCACUUUGGGAGGCCGAGCGGGUGAUCACUUGAGGUUAGGAGUUCAAGACCAGCCUGGCCAACAUGAUGAAACCCGUCUCUAUGAAAAAUACAACAAUUAGUUGGGCACUGGCCAGGUGCGGUGGCUCACGCCUGUAAUCCCAGCACUUUGGGAGGCCGAGGUGGGCGGAUCGCGAGGUCAGGAGAUCGAGACCAUCCUGAGUAACACGUGAAACCCUGUCUCUACUAAAAAUACAAAAAAAGAAUUAGCUGGGCCUGGUGGCGGGCGGCUGUAGUCCAAGCUACAGUCCAAGGGAGGCUGAGGCAGGAGAAUGGCGUGAACCCGAGAGUCGGAGCUUGCAGUGAGCUGAGAUCGCGCCACUGCACUCCAGCCUGGGGUGAGAUUCUGUCUCAAAAAAAAAAAAAAAAAAAAUUAGCUGGGCAUGGUGGCACAGGCCUGUAAUUCCAGCUACUCGGAGGCUGAGGCAUGAGAAUCGCUUGAACCCAGGAGGUGGAGAUUGUAGUGAGCCGAGAUCAUGCCACUGCACUCCAGCCUGGGCAACAGAGUGAUACUCCAUCUCAAAAAAAUAAAAUAAGAUAAAACAUAAAUAAAAUGCUUAGACCAAUGUUUGGCAUCCUUAAUAAAUGAGACCAUUAUCAUUUAGAACAAAUUACACAUCUUCGUACCUCAGAGCCUUUGCACAGCCUACAAGCACUAUCCUGUCUUCCCCUUCCAGACUUUGUUUAGUAGUUCAGAUGUUACACCUUUGGGGAAGACUUCCUUAACUUCCCCAGAUUAAGCUAUCUUAUCUUAAUAUACUCUAUGAACUUCUUAAUACACUCUAUGAUACUUACUUGAAAUUAUUAAUUCGUGUGGCUGAUUAACAUGUCUUUUCCAUUACACUAUAAGAAGGCUCCAGGAAGGAGGAUGGUAUCUGGCUGUUUUGUCACCAGCACCUAGUACAAAGUAGACACUCAAAACAUUUAUUCAAAAAAUAAGAAUUAAUUUAUUUUCAUCUAACUUAUUUUUUAUCAAAUCUUGUUACCAUGUAUAAAGCUAAUUAUGAUUAUUUAAUAAUAUAUUCUCUAACUGGUUCGAACAACUUUUCAGUUAUUGAAGGGGUUAAAAACACUGGAAAUUAAUAACAAUAAUUUCUAGCUUAUAGAAUAUUUAAACUUUUUUUACAGAGACAAUUUUUUUAAAGACACGAAGGUCUUGCUUUGUGACUCAGGCUGGAUUUGAACUCCUGGGCUCAAGUGAUCCUCCCACCUCAGCCUCUCAAGUAGCUGGGGCUACAGAUGUGCAUCACCAUGCUGAGCUCCAAUACUUUCUUGCACAGAUUUUCUUUUUUUUUGAGAUGGAGUCUCGCCCUAUCGCCCAGGCUGGAGUGCAGUGGCGUGAUCUUGGCUCACUGCAAGCUCCACCUCCCGGGUUCAUGCCAUUCUCCUGCCUCAGCCUUCCGAGUAGCUGGGACUACAGGUGCCUGCCUCCACGCCCGGCUAAUUUUUUGGAUUUUUUAGUAAAGAUGGGGUUUCACUGUGUUAGCCAGGAUGGUCUCAAUCUCCUGACCUCGUGAUCAGUCUGCCUCAGCCUCCCAAAGUGCUGGGAUUACAGGUGUGAGCCACCGCGCCCAGCCGGCGCACAGAUUUCCUUAGAAGAAAAAAAUGCUUCUAGGUAGAAAGUUUGCCUAUUGCAGUUUAAUUCUAAAAUAAAAGAUAACUGAGUGGAAGUUGGGGGUUUAAUCUAGCAGUUAAGUAGUUCAGAUAUAAACAGAAGGAAAAGCCUCAAGAUAACCUUUCAAUACACUUUCAUAUUUUUACACAAUUGCUACUUGUAUAUGAGGAAUUUAGGGGAUUUGAUAACCUUACAAAAGAUUAGUAUCACUAAAUUUGCUUUUUUUCUAGAAUAACCCACUUGUAUAAAAAGUAUUUGUAAUUUUUUCAUAAUGGUUAUUUUCAUCAUGAUUAAAGAAAAAUUCUCAUUAAACUUCAUUUCCCUAAGACACUGGUCACAUAUUUUCAAGUUUCCAAAUCAUAUAUAUACCCAACUAUUAAUAAAGUGUAAAAAAAAAAAAAAACCUCAAAUCAAUUUUAAAAGCAUCUUCUAUCAAAGGUCAGUUCACAAACACCCCCAAUAGUUGAAACUAUGUUUUCUGAUGGGUAGCAUUUAUCAUGAAGCAUUUAUCUCUCUACCAGGAGAGAGAGGAUAUGGCCAAAUUCUACAGUAAUGCUGUGUUCUGCACCUUAGCCUAUUAAAGACUCCAAGAAGUCCUGUGAGGAGACCUGCUUAAACUGUUUUCUAAAUUUAAAUGACCACAUAAUCUAUUCUAUGAAAACAAAGUUAUCAAACACACUUUGAGAAUUCAUGGUCUAUCUGCAUUCUACACAUUAGCUUGUCCAGAAUCCCAUUAAAAAUAUUAAACAGGCUGGGCACAGUGGCUCAUGCCUGUAGUCCCAGCACUAUGGGAGGCUGAGGCAGUUGGAUCACUUGAAUCCAGGAGUUCGAGACCAGCCUGGGCAACAUGAUGAAACCCGGUCUCUACAAAAAAAAAAAAAAAAAAAAAUACAAAACAUUAGCCAGGUGUGGUGGCAUACACCUGUAGUCCCAGCUACUCAGGAGGCUAAGGCAGGAACAUUGCUUGAGCCCAGGAGUUUGAGGCUGCAGUGAGCCAAGAUCGUGCCACUGUGCUUCAGCCUGGGUGAUAGAGCAGGAUUCGGUAUAAAAAAAAAUUAUAUAUAACAAACUUGCUGUUAGCGGUCCCAUGAUCCCACGAUAUGAUCCUGGUGACCCCUGCUUUAGGAGUUCAUAAACCAGUCUUUUGAUAAUUCAUCUUAGAGUCUUAUCAAGAACUACUUUAUAAUUUGCAGAAUCUACUUUUUCCCUUUGAAAAUCAGGACAUUUGCCAGUCUCUAACCUAUGACUAGUUUAAUAUAGGUUGAGCAUCUCAAAUCUGAACAUUUGAAACAUUUUGAGCACCGAUACGACACACAAAAGAAAUGCUCCUUGGAGCAUUUCAGAUUUCAGAUUUGGAAUGCUCAACAGUAUGAAUACAAACACUCUAAAAUACAAAAAAGUCUGAAACACCUCUGGUCUGAAGCAUUUCAGAUAAGAGAUACUCCGCUUGUACUUUAAUUUCUCAAGGCUUAGUAACAGCACGACCUCCUCAAUCAAGUUCUCAAUGGGAAUUUGAGGCAAGCACUUAAAGCGUAUCUUAAAGCACUGGUGAGAAGAAAAUGCAGACAAGCCUCACUUACCUUUGGGACCAGCAACUAGAAAGCCACCAGAGACAAAUACUUAUCCUUUCAAAUCAGUGGCUUGCCACAGGAGGUGUGCACCAGAACUAACUGGGAAAUUCUUAUAGUUUGUAAAGCUCCUUGGAUGAUUUUAAUACACAUUUAGAUAAAAAUCCUAGUUUUGUGACAUGUGCCUGUAGUCCCAGCUACUCGGGAAGAUGAAGUGGGAGAAUGGCCUGAGCCAGGGAGGUGGAAGUUGCAGUGAACCAAGACCGUGCCACUGUACUCCAGCCUGGUUGAUAGAGUGAGACCCUGUCUCAAAAAAGAAAAAAAAAAAUCCUGAUUUUGGGUACCAUCCUUCUCACUGUAAUCAUGUCCACUAAGGACAAUUUAACCAUAAUCAUUUGUAAUGAAGACAAUAAAGACCGCUAUGCUUUUAACUUUUAUGAGUAUUUUAGGCCACGAGUCGAUGGCAUCUUUCUCUAAGUACAUUGUACUCUGGUUUCCUUAAUGGUAUUUUAGGAAACGCUAGCACUAUUCCUUGAUCUGGCUUCUAAGAAUUAAGAUGGUAGGGCUGGGCUACUUUCCCCCAUAAUCCACAUUGCUUUCACUUAAUCAACCAAUUCUCCCUCUACAGGUAAUAAGUUUUGGAAUAGCAGUGUUCAUAACCCAUUUUCUUCUUCCUGAGUAGGAAAUGACAAAUGUACCAGAAAUCCCUGUUGGAGUAUUUUAGCACAUUUCUUAGUAGAUACAGUCUAGUUUUGCCUCUCUGCACUUGGUCUUCAACUAUUUACUUACGUCCACUUGACUAGACAGCCUGUAGUUCACCUUAACAAUAAUCUCCCUCUCCUUUUGUCCUUACAGUUAUCUAAAGAGCAGCCUUGUUAUCUGUAUCUCUUCUAGACAAACAGCACUACACUGAGUCUUAAGAGUUGUUUCUUCUGACCAAGGUAUUCCCUUCCAUUGUUAUAUUCCAGUCGCUUUGCUCCACCAAACUCUUGGUCAUAUUAUAUAUUAAAAUAUGUUCUUUAUUAUUCCUGUUCAGUGAAUUGUCUGAGAUUUUAAGUACAAUUU